UACGGGGGGGGGCAAGCGUUGUUCGGAAUUACUGGGCGUAAAGGGCUCGUAGGCGGCCAACUAAGUCGGAUGUGAAAUCCCCAGGCUCAACUUGGGAACUGCAUCCGAUACUGGAUGGCUUGAAUCCGGGAGAGGGAUGCAGAAUUCCAGGUGUAGCGGUGAAAUGCGUAGAUAUCUGGAGGAAUACCGGUGGCGAAGGCGGCAUCCUGGACCGGCAUUGACGCUGAGGAGCGAAAGCUAGGGGAGCAAACGGG
rnacentral:rRNA from 1 species